GGGGGGCAGGGGCAUUUAGGGACACGUUGUGGAGGCUGCCCUCUCAUCCCCUCAGGGGUUAGGAUGGGUGGGGCUGAGCAGCGGCCUGAGGCCUGACCUAUCUCCUGGUCUGCCUUCUUCUCUCUGAAGAGGGGAAGCCAGGGAAAGCAGCAGCAGGAGGGUGGGCUGUGGGGCACAGGGAAUCAGACCAUCUGGGCCCCUGGGCCUGGAGCAAUGGAUGGAAGGAGAAUGGCAGUAGAACCGAGAAGUCUUACACUUCACUCUCCACCACUCCCCAGCUUGGCGAGCAUGAGCAAGUCCUGCCUUCACUAAGCCUCACUAUCCUCUGUAAAAUGGAAACACGGACAGUACCUAUGACACAGGAUUGAUGGAGUGGGAGCUGCUGCAGGUCUGAGCACCAAGGGCUCCAGCACCAGGACAGGAGCCUCCAGCCACCUCCACCUUGCAGCCCCUGAAGGUAGCAUAUGUGGACCCUCUAGAUGGGGUGGGGAGUGACCUCUGCCCAGUUCCUUUCUGUCCCGUGGCCUUCCCAUCUGCAGGUUGUAGAGGGGAAACAGAAGGCUAGAAAGGCCCUUCCAGCUCAGGCUUUUACUGGUUCUAAAUGGAUUCCUGAGCUGGCCUCCCCAUCCCUGGACAGAGCGGAAGCUACCCCCUGCCCUGCCUCUCUGACCCCCAUGGUAUCAGCCUCUGUCUCAUCUGCCCCCAGAUCCCAGCCAUGGCCCUGGAGCCCAAAGAAGGGCAUCUGAGAAAAGUUGGAAGCCAGGGGCAGUGCCCAGGCAGUGUAGAGACUGUGCCCAGAGCCAGCAGGAGGCAGAUUCACAGCCUCACUCUGCAGCACAAGAGAUUGAGGUCAGGCCCUGCACCCCCGCCCAGUGAGCUGAAGGGUCCUGGCAUAGAAAAGCUGAAUUGAGAGGCCUCAGUGAGUUGGGCAUGGUGGCUCACACCUGCAAUCCCAGCACUUUAGGAGGCUGAGGCAGGUGGAUCACUUGAGGCCAGGAGUUCAAGAACAGCCU
rnacentral:lncRNA from 10 species